GAUGAACGCUGGCGGCGUGCUUAACACAUGCAAGUCGAACGGUGAAGCAGGAGCUUGCUCUUGUGGAUCAGUGGCGAACGGGUGAGUAACACGUGAGCAACCUGCCCCUGACUCUGGGAUAAGCGCUGGAAACGGCGUCUAAUACUGGAUAUGUGAUGUGACCGCAUGGUCUGCAUCUGGAAAGAAUUUCGGUUGGGGAUGGGCGCGCGGCCUAUCAGCAUGUUGGUGAGGUAAUGGCUACCCAAGGCGUCGACGGGUAGCCGGCCUGAGAGGGUGACCGGCCACACUGGGACUGAGACACGGCCCAGACUCCUACGGGAGGCAGCAGUGGGGAAUAUUGCACAAUGGGCGGAAGCCUGAUGCAGCAACGCCGCGUGAGGGAUGACGGCCUUCGGGUUGUAAACCUCUUUUAGCAGGGAAGAAGCGAAAGUGACGGUACCUGCAAAAAAAGCACCGGCUAACUACGUGCCAGCCGCCGCAGUAA
rnacentral:rRNA from 1 species